UACAGGGGGGGCAAGCGUUGUUCGGAAUUACUGGGCGUAAAGGGCUCGUAGGCGGCCAACUAAGUCACACGUGAAAUCCCCAGGCUUAACCUGGGAACUGCGUGUGAUACUGGAUGGCUUGAAUUCGGGAGAGGGAUGCAGAAUUCCAGGUGUAGCGGUGAAAUGCGUAGAUAUCUGGAGGAAUACCGGUGGCGAAGGCGGCAUCCUGGACCGACAUUGACGCUGAGGAGCGAAAGCUGGGGGAGCAAACGGG
rnacentral:rRNA from 1 species